rnacentral:rRNA from 1 species
ACCAAGGCGACGAUCAGUAGCCGGCCUGAGAGGGUGAACGGCCACAUUGGGACUGAGACACGGCCCAAACUCCUACGGGAGGCAGCAGUGGGGAAUAUUGCACAAUGGGGGAAACCCUGAUGCAGCAACGCCGCGUGAGUGAAGAAGUCAUUCGUGAUGUAAAGCUCUAUCAGCAGGGAAGAAAAUGACGGUACCUGACUAAGAAGCCCCGGCUAACUACGUGCCAGCAGCCGCGGUAAUACGUAGGGGGCAAGCGUUAUCCGGAUUUACUGGGUGUAAAGGGAGCGUAGACGGCGACGCAAGUCUGAAGUGAAAUGCCAGUGCUCAACACUGGAACUGCUUUGGAAACUGUGUAGCUAGAGUGCAGGAGAGGUAAGUGGAAUUCCUAGUGUAGCGGUGAAAUGCGUAGAUAUUAGGAGGAACACCAGUGGCGAAGGCGGCUUACUGGACUGUAACUGACGUUGAGGCUCGAAGGCGUGGGGAGCAAACAGGAUUAGAUACCCUGGUAGUCCACGCGGUAAACGAUGAUUACUAGGUGUCGGGGG